rnacentral:rRNA from 1 species
UACAGAGGGUGCAAGUGUUAAUCGGAAUUACUGGGCGUAAAGCGCGCGUAGGCGGUAUGUUAAGUCGGAUGUGAAAUCCCUGGGCUCAACCUAGGCAUUGCAUCCGAUACUGGCACACUAGAGUGUGGGAGAGGAAGGUAGAAUUCCAGGUGUAGCGGUGAAAUGCGUAGAGAUCUGGAGGAAUACCGAUGGCGAAGGCAGCCUUCUGGCCUAACACUGACGCUGAGGUGCGAAAGCAUGGGGAGCAAACAGG